CCACUUAGUAAUGCAUUUAUUUAGUAAAUAUAUAAAAUAAACUAUGUACAAUAGAAGAUAUUAAGGAACUGCUAUAAUAUACAAUAAUUACAUGUUUAUAAGAGGGUAAGCAAAAGCAUACAGAAUUACGUGCUUGAAAUAAAAAAAACUAACACUGUUAACAUGAGGUUUUUUUUAAUAUGCAAAACCUGAUUGCUAGAAAAAAAGAUAUUUUCCUGAUUUAAAGUUUAUUGCUCUGCUUUGAGUUUUGAAACACUCUGAAUCUUCACUGAGAACAGAUAUGUUACCUUAAUGUUGAACGUAACACCCUAAGGCUAAUCCUCUGUUAUUUUACCAGCCCCAGAAACCUAGCUGCAUUGCAUAUAGGAUGCCUUUAAAAAAUGUUAGCAGAUACUGUACAACUAUUCAGUUAUUUGUAAAAAGUAAAGCAUACCCUGGAUUUCUUAACUUGCUAUCUCCUAAGAAAAUGACUUACAGUAUGCUAGAUUCUGCUUUGCAAUCAUAGCAUUAUGUUUACUUCAUGAACAAAUGUAACUACCAUAAAUUAUUUCACCAUUGCUAGAAUAUAAAGGGGAAACAGGGAAAGAAAACUCUUUUGUGCAUUGUGAUCAAAGGAAGGAGAGAACCUCAGGUUUCAGUGAAAUGUUUGUACUUAGCAAGUGCUCCAGUAACAAAAUAGAUGAAACUGGGUUCUGUGCCCCUUAUACUCAGAGAGCCCUUAAGUGCUGUCAUCCUCUCACUCUUACCUCCUCUUACGUAUCCUCAGUGUCCUCAAGGUGGCCCUCUGUCAUCCCUAUUAUCAUGGCGUACCCUAACUAAGGCAAGUCAAAAUUUUCACUAUGGUCCCUUCAUGUUUGUCUUCAACUGCAGCGCUGCUGAGAGGAGCAGUUUCAAAAAGUUUGCAAGCAUCAUCAUCACAAGAGAGUUUUGCCUUUGAUUUAAUAGGUGUAGAGUCAAGCCCUGUAUCUAGGCUGUUGCUUAUUUUGGGCCUACUGCUACAGGCCUUACUCCAAAUCCCACUGGUUCCAUGGGAUUGGUCCCAUAACCUUCCCUUCAUGGCAGAGGGUUUCCGUUGCCCCGUGCAAGCUGGAGCACAGGGCGGGACUUCCAAAAAGGAGAGUGCUAGCUAUUCCAAGUAAUGGCAGGGCAAAGGCGAUUCUGUUGUUCUCUUGCCGUUACUUCCCUGGGGUGAUAGGGUGCAGUAACAUUAUUUAUUCAAACGGUAUUUAGAAAUUUCAACUCUGGAAGUUGCUUUUGUCUGGGAUUUACAUUCUGAGACUAGAAACACGGAUGUGCUAGUACUGAAAUGUUAUGCCUGGGAGUGGCGUUAUCAGAAAUGAAAUCCAUAACAAGACAGUUACAUGGGCAUUUCCAGGGUACCUGUAGGCAGAUGCAAGUAAUAAGACACCCUUAAAGUUCAUCUCUCAAUGUCUGUAUCGUAACAGCAUCGUACUGUGAUGUGCAAAACAACAGGCUCCCUGGAGAAGCUGCAGUGAAAAGGCACGCUUUAUUCAACAGCAGAGAAUGCUUAUUGUCAGCUUUCAUUCCCUUAAGAUUUAGGUUUCCUGUUUCAGUACUACAUGCUGCAGCACAUCAUUCUGCAAAUUGCAUGAAAGAAAGUUCCUGAGUAUCAGACCCACACUAUACCUUAAAUGGUGCAUGUAGAAUAAUGAGCAUGGGAGGAAAAAACCCCCCAACAACCCCUUGAAACAGUGACUAGCAGAGAGACGACUACCAUUAAGACAUGCUUGAAACUCCAUUCGAGUUAAUUACUUUCCAUGAGAGCAUUUUUAGAAAGCUAUUUCAUAUAAGGCAAUUGGAUCAUUGUAAAGCACUUAAAAUCAACGUGAGCUUUGGCAUUGUCUGUUUUUGUCUUCAUUAGCUGGGGGAGGUGUGGAAAUCAACCUGGCCUAUACAGUAAGCGGACAACUGCAUUUACAAAUGCAACCCUUUAACGUUCUGAGUUUGCUUCCACGCUGAUACCUCCCGUCUAUUACGAUAUUCUUUGGUAACACAAUUUCUUUGUUUUCAUGUUUUUCACUAAUAUUGCUUCCCCUCUCCCAGCUUUUGAAAAGAUGGCUCAGCCUGUACAUUUCCAUGAAUACAGUUAUCUGCAUUUUUUUUAAUAAAAAGAACAUUCCUUAAGUCUGGAGGUAAAUG
rnacentral:lncRNA from 1 species